rnacentral:rRNA from 1 species
UUAAGCGACUAAGCGUACACGGUGGAUGCCCUGGCAGUCAGAGGCGAUGAAGGACGUGCUAAUCUGCGAUAAGCGUCGGUAAGGUGAUAUGAACCGUUAUAACCGGCGAUUUCCGAAUGGGGAAACCCAGUGUGUUUCGACACACUAUCAUUAACUGAAUCCAUAGGUUAAUGAGGCGAACCGGGGGAACUGAAACAUCUAAGUACCCCGAGGAAAAGAAAUCAACCGAGAUUCCCCCAGUAGCGGCGAGCGAACGGGGAGGAGCCCAGAGUCUGAAUCAGUGUGUGUGUUAGUGGAAGCGUCUGGAAAGGCGCGCGAUACAGGGUGACAGCCCCGUACACAAAAAUGCACAUACUGUGAGCUCGAUGAGUAGGGCGGGACACGUGGUAUCCUGUCUGAAUAUGGGGGGACCAUCCUCCAAGGCUAAAUACUCCUGACUGACCGAUAGUGAACCAGUACCGUGAGGGAAAGGCGAAAAGAACCCCGGCGAGGGGAGUGAAAAAGAACCUGAAACCGUGUACGUACAAGCAGUGGGAGCACGCUUAGGCGUGUGACUGCGUACCUUUUGUAUAAUGGGUCAGCGACUUAUAUUCUGUAGCAAGGUUAACCGAAUAGGGGAGCCGAAGGGAAACCGAGUCUUAACUGGGCGUUAAGUUGCAGGGUAUAGACCCGAAACCCGGUGAUCUAGCCAUGGGCAGGUUGAAGGUUGGGUAACACUAACUGGAGGACCGAACCGACUAAUGUUGAAAAAUUAGCGGAUGACUUGUGGCUGGGGGUGAAAGGCCAAUCAAACCGGGAGAUAGCUGGUUCUCCCCGAAAGCUAUUUAGGUAGCGCCUCGUGAAUUCAUCUCCGGGGGUAGAGCACUGUUUCGGCAAGGGGGUCAUCCCGACUUACCAACCCGAUGCAAACUGCGAAUACCGGAGAAUGUUAUCACGGGAGACACACGGCGGGUGCUAACGUCCGUCGUGAAGAGGGAAACAACCCAGACCGCCAGCUAAGGUCCCAAAGUCAUGGUUAAGUGGGAAACGAUGUGGGAAGGCCCAGACAGCCAGGAUGUUGGCUUAGAAGCAGCCAUCAUUUAAAGAAAGCGUAAUAGCUCACUGGUCGAGUCGGCCUGCGCGGAAGAUGUAACGGGGCUAAACCAUGCACCGAAGCUGCGGCAGCGACGCUUAUGCGUUGUUGGGUAGGGGAGCGUUCUGUAAGCCUGUGAAGGUGUGCUGUGAGGCAUGCUGGAGGUAUCAGAAGUGCGAAUGCUGACAUAAGUAACGAUAAAGCGGGUGAAAAGCCCGCUCGCCGGAAGACCAAGGGUUCCUGUCCAACGUUAAUCGGGGCAGGGUGAGUCGACCCCUAAGGCGAGGCCGAAAGGCGUAGUCGAUGGGAAACAGGUUAAUAUUCCUGUACUUGGUGUUACUGCGAAGGGGGGACGGAGAAGGCUAUGUUGGCCGGGCGACGGUUGUCCCGGUUUAAGCGUGUAGGCUGGUUUUCCAGGCAAAUCCGGAAAAUCAAGGCUGAGGCGUGAUGACGAGGCACUACGGUGCUGAAGCAACAAAUGCCCUGCUUCCAGGAAAAGCCUCUAAGCAUCAGGUAACAUCAAAUCGUACCCCAAACCGACACAGGUGGUCAGGUAGAGAAUACCAAGGCGCUUGAGAGAACUCGGGUGAAGGAACUAGGCAAAAUGGUGCCGUAACUUCGGGAGAAGGCACGCUGAUAUGUAGGUGAAGUCCCUUGCGGAUGGAGCUGAAAUCAGUCGAAGAUACCAGCUGGCUGCAACUGUUUAUUAAAAACACAGCACUGUGCAAACACGAAAGUGGACGUAUACGGUGUGACGCCUGCCCGGUGCCGGAAGGUUAAUUGAUGGGGUCAGCGCAAGCGAAGCUCUUGAUCGAAGCCCCGGUAAACGGCGGCCGUAACUAUAACGGUCCUAAGGUAGCGAAAUUCCUUGUCGGGUAAGUUCCGACCUGCACGAAUGGCGUAAUGAUGGCCAGGCUGUCUCCACCCGAGACUCAGUGAAAUUGAACUCGCUGUGAAGAUGCAGUGUACCCGCGGCAAGACGGAAAGACCCCGUGAACCUUUACUAUAGCUUGACACUGAACAUUGAGCCUUGAUGUGUAGGAUAGGUGGGAGGCUUUGAAGUGUGGACGCCAGUCUGCAUGGAGCCGACCUUGAAAUACCACCCUUUAAUGUUUGAUGUUCUAACGU